ACCCGGUUAGCGCAUUGUUCCUGGACAGUUGUCCGGAGUUAGGUGUAACUGUUCCUGGAAACUAUCCUUAGGGAUAGACACUAUGAAUAAUAAGUAGUUUAGCUUAAUUAAUGAUUAAUGAAUAAGGGGGAGGGAUGUCAAGGAGCUAUGGAGGCUCACUCAGGAGCUCGCUCAGGAGGCUGAAAGCCUGAAACAUCAAGAAAGGCAGCUCAGUGGAUCAUGGUUUUUCAAAUCACGAAGUGGAUGGAGUACUGGAUUCUCCUAUCUCUUACGUUCUUUGUCUUCUUGUGCAUAAUACAGUUCCUUACUGAUACUAUAAGCUUGUGUUAACACAUACGCAUUGCGUGUCAAGAAUCAAGAUUCCAUUUCCGGCAAAAGAUGUGGGAGCAGAACUAUCCUAACAACAUGAUGGAGAAUGGAAUUAAGACAAAAUGCUAAGAAUAUUCAAAGCAUGUCCAAUUUGAACAAUGCCAUUAACUACUCAUAAUCAAUAAACAAUUUGUUCCAUGGACAUUAACUUAUUAC